CUCAUUCUCUCUCCUCCCUCUCUUCCUCCUCUCUCCCGUGCGACUCCUCCAUGGGCACCUUCUUCUUCUUCUUCUUCGGACGUCGCCAGAGCAGCAGCAACUGUCGCAGCCACCGCUGGAGCGAGAUCCGCCGCCGCUCGUCGCUGCCGCCGGAGUCGUCACCGUCCACGCCCGCUUGCCCGCGCGACCGACUAGCUCGCCGCUCCGCCUCAGCCCAUUUCCCCAGCAGAUCUGAGAUCUCGUGCAGCAGCUGACCGGGACCAGCCGAGCUCGACGCCGCACGCCUGUCGCCGGAGCUCGCCGUCGCCGUGUGUCGUCCCGUACCCGCGUGCCCGUGCGUCGCCCCGCACGCGCCUCGCCUGGAUCGCCGCCUUCGUCUGCCCCUGCUCGCGUAUUUCAGGAGCUGCCGGAGCUCCCUCCGGCCACCGUGAGGCCUCGCCUGGCCGCCGCCUCGCCCGUCCAAGCCCCAUCGGUCCUCCUCCGCCGUUCCUCCGCCCGAUCCGCCUCCGUACAGCCCUUCUCGGCCCCAAAUCAGAGGGCUGGAAAAAUGGGUAUGCAGCGGACGUUUGGCUCUUUUGGCCACCUUCCCGAGCCCGGAUGCUCGGCCCGCCUUGAGGAAAGUCGAUCAUCGCGUCGUCCUGGUCGUUUUGGUCCGCUCGGCUCGCUAAUCCGGUGAGUUUAACUCACUAAACCUUGAUUAGACGGUUAAUGAUGCCCUAAGUGUGCUUAGCCUAAGUUAAGUAAGCUUAGUUGGUUGAAUUAGUUUAAUUGGUUGAUGAUUAGAUUAUGGUGUUUAAUUAAGUUAAAGUGUGUUUAGUUUAAAGAUAAGUAUGUUUAUUGUUAAUAUAAAGCCUUGAUGUGACAUAAAAGGAUUUUAAUUUUGAAUUAUUUAAUUGCUUCGAAAUUCUGGAAAUUUAUAAUAUUAUAUUAUAUUCCGAAAUUAUUAAAAUAUUAUUAUAUAAAAAAAAAACGGAAAAAUUAUUUUUGAUCCCGGUUGCUCAGAAUUUCGUGCCGAUCGCUGCUAUGUAGUUGGAUUUAGAAAUUGAUGAUUGGAUAUUAUAAAUCGAGUGCGGAUUGUGAAAGAUAGGGAUAUUAUUAUUUAAUUAAUUUUCGAAAUAAACUUAAUUAUUAAAUAAAUUCCGAAAAUUAUUUUGGGACCCUAAAUUCUCAGAAUUUUGUGCCGAUCGCUGCUGUGUAUUCAGAUUAUGAAUUUGAUGGUUAGAUAUUACAAAUUGAGUAAUGAUUUGUGCAAUUGAUUAUUGAAUUGUUGUGUGCUGGUUGAAAGACUCGGGUCGCGGUAGUGGCUAGGCCGACUGGAUCCUUAUUCUGCUAGAAAUGCCGUCAAGAGAAUGACGUGGCUUGGUCGCAGUAGUGGCGAGACCGACUGGACCUUUAUUUUUUUUAGAAAUGCUGUCGAUAGAACGACGUGGCAUGGUCGCAGUAGUGGCGAGACCGACUGGACCUUUAUUCUUCUAGAAAUACUGUAAUAUUAGUAGAUAGCUGACCGGCGAAUAGGCUGUACUCUUGUGUGGCAGUGGAUAUGAUGACAUGGAAUGCUUGCUGUGAUUGUGAAAUUAAGUGAAAUUAAUUGUGUUCCGAUGGCUUACAUUCUUAUCAUUACUGGUGCUUGAGUGAUAUGAAUUGUACUAACAUGCAGGAAUGCAAGAAGGCGAGGUAAGUCUUAUGUGCUGUGUGGCUAGACCACUCUGGGGCGUAUUUUCUUUCUAAUAAGGGUUUAGGGGGUUGAACUUGCUGAGACGUUGUCUCAGUGGUUAUUGAAUAACCAUUUCAGGUCCCUGGUGGACGGAGCGGCCAUAUAGCUUUGGUUGGCCUUGAGGAGUUGCAGAGGUGAAGCCAUAAGGAUUGGAGAGCGUGUCCGAUUUGUAGGUCGUAGGACAGUUACUUUUUAAGAGCCGGUCUUUUGUAGACUUUUGGCUGUAGGCCUUCGUCUGUAACUUCGUUGGUUUGUGUAAGUGAUUGGUUGUGAAAUUGUUUCCUGCUUUUCUAUCCCGUAUUUUAUUGUCAGGGGUUUUAUAAGACGUUCCGCUUGCGUAAUAAUAAAUGAAUG
rnacentral:lncRNA from 1 species